CCUACGGGUGGCAGCAGUGAGGAAUAUUGGUCAAUGGGCGGGAGCCUGAACCAGCCAAGCCGCGUGAGGGAAGAAGGUACAGCGUAUCGUAAACCUCUUUUGUCAGGGAACAAAGGCGGGUACUAGUCCCCGGAUGAGGGUACAUGAAGAAAAAGCAUCGGCUAACUCCGUGCCAGCAGCCGCGGUAAUACGGAGGAUGCGAGCUGUAUCCGGAUUUAUUGGGUUUAACGGUUGCGAAGGGGGCAGGUUAAGUUAGCGGUAAAACCCCGGGGCUCAACCCCGACGCGCCGUGGAAACUGGGGGGCUGGAGUGGGAGAGAGGUAAGCGGAAUGCGCGGUGUAGCGGUGAAAUGCGUAGAUAUCGCGCAGAACUCCGAUUGCGAAGGCAGCUUACUAAACUGCCACUGACAUUGAUGCUCGAAAGUGUGGGUAGCAAACAGGAUUAGAUACCCGUGUAGUC
rnacentral:rRNA from 1 species